UGGAGCAUGUUGGUUUAAUUCGAAGCAACGCGAAGAGCCUUACCAGGUCUUGACAUCCCGAUGCUAUUUCUAGAGAUAGAAAGUUACUUCGGUACAUCGGUGACAGGUGGUGCAUGGUUGUCGUCAGCUCGUGUCGUGAGAUGUUGGGUUAAGUCCCGCAACGAGCGCAACCCCUAUUGUUAGUUGCCAUCAUUCAGUUGGGCACUCUAGCGAGACUGCCGGUAAUAAACCGGAGGAAGGUGGGGAUGACGUCAAAUCAUCAUGCCCCUUAUGACCUGGGCUACACACGUGCUACAAUGGUUGGUACAACGAGUUGCGAGUCGGUGACGGCGAGCUAAUCUCUUAAAGCCAAUCUCAGUUCGGAUUGUAGGCUGCAACUCGCCUACAUGAAGUCGGAAUCGCUAGUAAUCGCGGAUCAGCACGCCGCGGUGAAUACGUUCCCGGGCCUU
rnacentral:rRNA from 1 species